CACGUAGGGUGCGAGCGUUGUCCGGAUUCAUUGGGCGUAAAGGGUGCGUAGGUGGCGCGGUAAGUCGGGUGUGAAAUCUCGGAGCUUAACUCCGAAAUUGCAUUCGAUACUGCCGUGCUCGAGGACUGGAGAGGAGACUGGAAUUCAUGGUGUAGCAGUGAAAUGCGUAGAGAUCAUGAGGAAGACCAGUGGCGAAGGCGGGUCUCUGGACAGUUCCUGACACUGAGGCACGAAGGCCAGGGGAGCAAACGGG
rnacentral:rRNA from 1 species